UAUUCAGCUUGUUAUGGUUGCUAUUUUUUUUUAGACGAACAAUAAUAGCCACCGAAUGGAUGAGAGUAAACCGGAUUUUCUC
rnacentral:ncRNA from 1 species